ACCAGACUCCUACGGGAGGCAGCAGUGGGGGAUAUUGCACAAUGGGGGGAACCCUGAUGCAGCGACGCCGCGUGGGUGAAGGAGUGCUUCGGCAUGUAAAGCCCUAUCGGCAGGGAAGAAGCAAGACGGUACCUGACUAAGAAGCCCCGGCUAACUACGUGCCAGCAGCCGCGGUAAUACGUAGGGGGCAAGCGUUAUCCGGAUUUACUGGGUGUAAAGGGGGCGCAGACGGCGAUGCAAGCCAGGAGUGAAAGCCCGGGGCCCAACCCCAGGACUGCUCUUGGAACUGCGUGGCUGGAGUGCAGGAGAGGUAAGCGGAAUUCCUAGUGUAGCGGUGAAAUGCGUAGAUAUUAGGAGGAACACCAGUGGCGAAGGCGGCUUACUGGACUGUAACUGACGUUGAGGCUCGAAAGCGUGGGGAGCAAACAGGAUUAGAUACCCGAGUA
rnacentral:rRNA from 1 species